rnacentral:rRNA from 1 species
CGCGUAGGUGGUAGUGUAAGUCUGGGGUGGAGUGCCGGGGCUUAACCCUGGAAUUGCCUUGGAAACUGCAUUACUUGAGUCAGUGAGGGGAGGGUAGAAUUCCUGGUGUAGCGGUGAAAUGCGUAGAUAUCAGGAGGAAGGCCUGUGGCGAAGGCGGCCCUCUGGCGCUGGACUGACACUGAGGCGCGAAAGCGUGGGGAGCAAACAGGAUUAGAUACCCUGGUAGUCCACGCCCUAAACGGUGGGCACUAGGUGUAGGGCUCGUAAGGGUUCUGUGCCGAAGGGAAACCAUUAAGUGCCCCGCCUGGGGAGUACGGCCGCAAGGUUGAA